rnacentral:rRNA from 1 species
UUAAAGGGCUUGUAGGCGGUUCGUCGCGUCGGGAGUGAAAACUCAGGGCUUAACCUGAGCCUGCUUUUGAUACGGGCGGACUAGAGGGAUGCAGGGGAGAACGGAAUUCCUGGUGGAGCGGGUGGAAUGCGCAGAUAUCAGGAGGAACACCGGUGGCGAAGGCGGUUCUCUGGGCAUUUCCUGACGCUGAGAAGCGAAAGCGUGGGGAGCAAACAGGCUUAGAUACCCUGGUAGUCCACGCCGUAAACGGUGGGCACUAGGUGUGGGGGACAUUCCACGUUCUCCGUGCCGAAGCUAACGCAUUAAGUGCCCCGCCUGGGGAGUACGGCCGCAAGGCUAAAACUCAAAGGAAUUGACGGGGGCCCGCACAAGCGGCGGAGCAUGCGGAUUAAUUCGAUGCAACGCGAAGAACCUUACCUGGGUUUGACAUAGGCCGGAAAGCUGCAGAGAUGCAGUCCCCGUAAGGUCGGUUCACAGGUGGUGCAUGGCUGUCGUCAGCUCGUGUCGUGAGAUGUUGGGUUAAGUCCCGCAACGAGCGCAACCCUCGUUCUAUGUUGCCAGCACGUGAUGGUGGGGACUCAUAGGAGACUGCCGGGGUCAACUCGGAGGAAGGUGGGGAUGACGUCAAGUCAUCAUGCCCCUUAAGUCCAGGGCUUCACGCAUGCUACAAUGGCUGGUACGAAGGGCUGCGAUACCGCAAGGUGGAGCGAAUCCCAAAAAGCCAGUCUCAGUUCGGAUUGGGGUCUGCAACUCGACCCCAUGAAGUCGGAGUCGCUAGUAAUCGCAGAUCAGCAACGCUGCGGUGAAUACGUUCCCGGCCUUGCACACACCGCCCGUC